UACGAAGGGGGGCUAGCGUUGUUCGGAUUUACUGGGCGUAAAGCGCACGUAGGCGGAUCGUUAAGUCGGGGGUGAAAUCCUGGAGCUCAACUCCAGAACUGCCUUCGAUACUGGGCGAUCUUGAGUCCGGAAGAGGUCGAGUGGAACUCCUAGUGUAGGAGGUGGAAUUCGUAGAUAUUAGGAAGAACACCAGGUGGCGAAGGCGGCUCACUGGUCCGGUACUGAGCGCUGGACGGUGCGAAAGCGUGGGGAGCAAA
rnacentral:rRNA from 1 species